rnacentral:rRNA from 1 species
AGGGUUUGAUCAUGGCUCAGAGCGAACGUUAGCGGCGGGCUUAACACAUGCAAGUCGAACGCGAAAGGGAUUCGUCCCCGGUAGCGUGGCGUCCGGGUGAGUAACACGUAGGAAACCUUCCCUCCAGCGGGGGAUAGCGUCCCGAAAGGGACGCUAAUACCGCAUAAGCUCCCGACGACUCCGGUCGUUGAGAGAAAAGAUGGCCUCUGUAUACAAGCUAUCACUGGAUGACGGUCCUGCGGCGCAUCAGCUAGUUGGUGGGGUAACGGCCUACCAAGGCGAAGACGCGUAGCUGGUCUGAGAGGAUGAUCAGCCACACUGGCACUGAAACACGGGCCAGACUCCUACGGGAGGCAGCAGUGGGGAAUAUUGGUCAAUGGGCGCAAGCCUGAACCAGCCACGCCGCGUGAGUGAUGAAGGCCUUCGGGUUGUAAAGCUCUGUGGGGAGGGACGAAAACGGUCCGGAAGAAACGACGGAUCCUUGACGGUACCUCUUUAGCAAGCACCGGCUAACUCUGUGCCAGCAGCCGCGGUAAUACAGAGGGUGCGAACGUUGCUCGGAAUUACUGGGCGUAAAGCGCGUGUAGGCGGGAUGAUAAGUCGGAAGUGAAAUCCCUGGGCUCAACCCAGGAACUGCUUUCGAAACUGUCGUCCUCGAGUACCGGAGAGGGUGGCGGAAUUCCUGGUGUAGAGGUGAAAUUCGUAGAUAUCAGGAGGAACACCGGUGGCGAAGGCGGCCACCUGGACGGUUACUGACGCUGAGACGCGAAAGCGUGGGGAGCAAACAGGAUUAGAUACCCUGGUAGUCCACGCCGUAAACGAUGGGUGCUGGGUGUCGCGGGUAUUGACCCCCGCGGUGCCGUAGCCAACGCGUUAAGCAC